rnacentral:rRNA from 1 species
GAUGAACGCUGGCGGCGUGCUUAACACAUGCAAGUCGAACGGAAAGGCCCAAGCUUGCUUGGGUACUCGAGUGGCGAACGGGUGAGUAACACGUGGGUGAUCUGCCCUGCACUUCGGGAUAAGCCUGGGAAACUGGGUCUAAUACCGGAUAGGACGAUGGUUUGGAUGCCAUUGUGGAAAGUUUUUUCGGUGUGGGAUGAGCUCGCGGCCUAUCAGCUUGUUGGUGGGGGAAUGGCCUACCAAGGCGUCGACGGGUAGCCGGCCUGGGGGGGUGUACGGCCACAAUGGGGCUGAGAUACGGCCCAGACUCCUACGGGAGGCAGCAGUGGGGAAGAUUGCACAAUGGGCGCAAGCCUGAUGCAGCGACGCCGCGUGGGGGAUGACGGCCUUCGGGUUGUAAACUCCUUUCGCUAGGGACGAAGCGUUUUGUGACGGUACCUGGAGAAGAAGCACCGGCUAACUACGUG